AACGCUAGCUACAGGCUUAACACAUGCAAGUCGCGGGGCAGCAUGAAUUUAGCUUGCUAAAUUUGAUGGCGACCGGCGCACGGGUGAGUAACGCGUAUCCAACCUUCCCUUAUCCACGGGAUAGCCCGUCGAAAGGCGGAUUAAUACCGUAUGAGGUCAUUUGAUGGCAUCUGAUUAUGACGAAAGGUUUGGCGGAUAAGGAUGGGGAUGCGUCCGAUUAGCUUGUUGGCGGGGUAACGGCCCACCAAGGCGACGAUCGGUAGGGGUUCUGAGAGGAAGGUCCCCCACAUUGGAACUGAGACACGGUCCAAACUCCUACGGGAGGCAGCAGUGAGGAAUAUUGGUCAAUGGGCGAGAGCCUGAACCAGCCAAGUAGCGUGCAGGAUGACAGCCCUACGGGUUGUAAACUGCUUUUAUGAAGGAAUAAUGAGGGCCACGUGUGGCCCGUUGCAUGUACUUCAUGAAUAAGGACCGGCUAAUUCCGUGCCAGCAGCCGCGGUAAUACGGAAGGUCCGGGCGUUAUCCGGAUUUAUUGGGUUUAAAGGGAGCGUAGGCCGCCCCGUAAGCGUGUUGUGAAAAGCCGUGGCUCAACCAUGGUCGUGCAGCGCGAACUGCGGGGCUUGAGUGUGCGGAAAGUGGGCGGAAUUCGUGGUGUAGCGGUGAAAUGCUUAGAUAUCACGAAGAACUCCGAUUG
rnacentral:rRNA from 1 species